GUAAACUCUCCUUCAAGUGUAUAUACAAGACAAAAAACGAGCUCUCCUCGGAAGAAGGGUUGUGUUAAGACUAGCUCUAGAAUGAGCAGCACGGAUGUCAUGGAAGUGCCAGCAUGGAAGCGAAAACGCAGGCAUCGCAGGAGAAGGGCGCCGGGAUAAAUUUAAUGGGAGAAAGUUGAUCAAGCAGAGCGUGAAACUAGCGCGGCUAGUUAGCUAGCAGGCUAAGUCAUCAGCAGGAAAACUGGAAAGGCGCCAGCGUGGGCUUGGUAGAAUUCAUGGCAUCGACGAUGAGACCCUGAAAAGACCCCGCCGGGAUUCUACCUGUGGGGCAAGGAUUUGCCAAAAUGGCCCCCAGAUCAGUUGACCUGACCCCCAACGCGCCAGAAAAAAAGGCUGUUUCUGAGCUGCGGGCUCUCUUCCAUUUGAAUCGCGGCUCUGUGGAGCCAUCAGAGGCGAGUGACGAUCUUCUCGCUCCGGCUGUGUUGAAAUGGCACCUUGAGUGACAUCGGCGCAAAGGUCAGAGAGAGGCUUGAGGGAAACGGGAAGGAUUUCGGUCCUGCCGGGGGCGACAGGCUCUCUGUGCCAUCCACUUACACAAACGGCAGGAUCAGCGCUCCACACAAGAAUAAUUACAAGAUAAUGGGUAGUAAUGCUGCCCGAUCUGUCCCGAUUAUCUCCUGGCAGCAAUCGGCACAGCGCCAUCUGGUGCCAGAUCACGGGGCAGCGGCUGCUCUGCCACAUGAAAAGGAGGUGGGCUUAGGUUUAAUCUCACACCCCAUGCUGUUAUUGACUGUCUGCACGGUGGUGUAUGCAAAAGCGAGCGCGCUUGAGCAUGUGUGCGCAUGCCCCUGAGAUGGGCGACUCAUAUCAC